GACGAACGCUGGCGGCGUGCCUAAUACAUGCAAGUCGAACGCUUCUUUCCUCCCGAGUGCUUGCACUCAAUUGGAAAGAGGAGUGGCGGACGGGUGAGUAACACGUGGGUAACCUACCCAUCAGAGGGGGAUGACACUUGGAAACAGGUGCUAAUACCGCAUAGCAGUUUAUGCCGCAUGGCAUAAGAGUGAAAGGCGCUUUCGGGUGUCGCUGAUGGAUGGACCCGCGGUGCAUUAGCUAGUUGGUGAGGUAACGGCUCACCAAGGCCACGAUGCAUAGCCGACCUGAGAGGGUGAUCGGCCACACUGGGACUGAGACACGGCCCAGACUCCUACGGGAGGCAGCAGUAGGGAAUCUUCGGCAAUGGACGAAAGUCUGACCGAGCAACGCCGCGUGAGUGAAGAAGGUUUUCGGAUCGUAAAACUCUGUUGUUAGAGAAGAACAAGGACGUUAGUAACUGAACGUCCCCUGACGGUAUCUAACCAGAAAGCCACGGCUAACUACGUG
rnacentral:rRNA from 1 species